rnacentral:rRNA from 1 species
CGGGGUGAGUAAUGUCUGGGAAACUGCCUGAUGGAGGGGGAUAGCUACUGGAAACGGUAGCUAAUACCGCAUAACGUCGCAAGACUAAAGAGGGGGACCUUCGGGCCUCUUGCCAUCGGAUGUGCCCAGAUGGGAUUAGCUAGUAGGUGGGGUAACGGCUCACCUAGGCGACGAUCCCUAGCUGGUCUGAGAGGAUGACCAGCCACACUGGAACUGAGACACGGUCCAG